AACUUUUGACAACGGAUCUCUUGGUUCUGGCAUCGAUGAAGAACGCAGCGAAAUGCGAUAAGUAAUGUGAAUUGCAGACCUUGUGAAUCAUCGAAUCUUUGAACGCACAUUGCGCCCAUUGGUAUUCCGAUGGGCAUGCCUGUUCGAGCGUCAUUAUCAAACGUCAAGCUUCGCUUGUUAUUGGACUCGCUGUCCGGCUAAAGGACAUGUCCCAAAGACAAUGACCGUGUCGAGUGUGACCCUAGAUGCAAUGAGCUUUGUUAAGCACGCAUGUAAGGGACCACCCGGCCCGGCCUCAACCAUUUUUCUCAGGUUGACCUCGGAUCAGGUAGGGAUACCCGCUGAACUUAAGCAUAUCAAUAAGCGGAGGCU
rnacentral:misc_RNA from 1 species